rnacentral:tRNA from 1 species
UGCUCUGUGGCUAAGUUGGUUAAGGCCUAGCGAAUACGGAGUCGUGGGUUCGAAUCCCACCAGAACAA